GUCCCAAUGGCACAGCGGUUAGUGUGCCUGCUACAGAUGCGUAUGCCCAACAGGACGCCCUCGUUCGACUCGGGGUUGGGUCA